rnacentral:lncRNA from 1 species
CUAAAAAUACAAAAAAUUAGCCAGGCGCAGUGGCGGGCGCCUGUGGUCCCAGCUACUUGGGAGGCUGAGGCAGGAGAAUCGCUUGAACCCAGGAGGCAGAGGUUGCAGUGAGCCGAGAUGGCGCCACCGCACUACAGCCUGGGGAACAGAGUGAGAUCCCAGAGUGAGAAAGAAAAAAGAAAUAUAACACAAGGAUGGGCCAGUGGCUCACGCCUUGUAAUCCCAGCACUUUGGGAGGCUGAGGUGGACGGAUCACUUGAGGUCAGGAGUUCGAGUCCAGCCUGGCCUAUAUGGUGAAACCCCGUCUCUACUAAAAAUACAAAAAUUAGCCAGGUGCGAUGGCUCACGUGUGUAAUCCCAGCACUUUGGGAGGCCGAAGUGGGUGGAUCACUUGAGGUCAGGAGUUCGAGACCAGCCUGGCCAAUAUGGUGAAACCCCGUCUCUACUAAAAAUACAGAAAUUAGACAGGUGCGGUGGUGCACACCUGUAAUCCCAGCUACUUGAGAGGCUGAAGCAGGAGAAUCUCUUGGGCCCAGGAGGCAGAGGUUGCAGUGAGCCAAGAUCACACCACUGCACUCUAGCCUGGGUGACAGAGCAAGACUCUGUCUCAAAAAAGAAAAAAGGUAAAAAAAAAAAAAAAUGACCCUGAAAGGAAGUAGGGAGACAUGCAGAUAGGGAGAUGGGAGGCAGAAAAUUGCAUCCUGCAAUUAGCUGUCACAGCAGGCAGGAGCAAGAGAGAUGGGGAAGCCCAGGGCCAGGAGGGGAAGAUGAAUUCAGGGGGCAGGGAAGAGAGGAUGCUGUCAGCUAGGCUCUGGCAGAUCCCCUAGCCAGGGAUGCUCUGCCCAGCUCCUGUCUCUUGCUGCUGUCAGCGCCGGGCACACUCUGGGAUUCCCCCUGUAGACCCUGUCAAGACCUAUUGAGGUGAAGGGGAAGAACACGUUUUCAUCAUUCAUUUUCAGAAAUAAACAUUCACUCAGUUCUUGGAAAUACUUUCUGGCCAGGCUUGGGGGCUCAUGCCUGUAAUCCCAGCACUCUGGGAGGCCAAGACAGGAGGAUUGCUUGAGGCUUGGCGUUUGAGACCAGCCUGGGCAAUAUAGUAAGACCCCGUCUCUACAAAAAUGAAAAAUGAGCUGUGGCGUGGUGGCUCACGCCUGUAGUCCUAGAUACUCGGGAGGCUGAGGCGGGAGGAUUGCUUGAGUCCAGGAGUUUAAGGUUGCAGUGAGCUAUGAUUGCACCAUUGCACUUCAGGCUGGGCCACAGAGCAAGACCCUGUCUCAGAAAACAGAAAGAAAGAAAGUCAAAGAAAUAAAGUCAAAGACAAGAAGGUGAUACAGAGAAGACAGAAAAGGAGGAGGAGAGAGACUGACAGGUACACAAAUCAGAGAAGUCCCAGAGAUAACAAAAACACAACCACAGAGAUAGGGAGACGUAAGCCGGAGAAAGACCCAGAGAUUCGCAUAGAAAGCAACGUGGAGACUCAGAAGCAAGCACAGCAUCAAGGAAUGAUCAAUAAAAAGAAAAAAAAAUAUUUCCUGAGGACUUCCAAGUACAAGGCCCUGCAAUCUCAGGCCACUUCUGUCCCAUCUCUGCCUUCAGAGGGGGGGACAGGUAGUCCAGACAAUUAGAAUACAGAGGGGGCUGUGUUCUGACGGGGCCACGCGGGCAUUGAGGAAACGCAGCAGGCCCCUCCCCUAGCUGGGGCGGGGAUGUCUGUGUGCCAUCAUCUCACUCCAUCUGGUCAUUCCUUUGCCCAUUCAUCCAUCCAUUCAUUCAAGUCACCCCAUGCACAUUUUCCAAGACUGCCUGUGACCUGGCCCUGUGCCGGGUAGAGCUGAGGAUGCCAAGGUGAAUUCCUCCUGUGCCUGGCCCCGGCCCCAGUCUGCUGGAAGAACCAGACACAGACAAUCACACUGCGGGGAAACACGUGCUCCAUCGGAAAAGUCCAGAGCAGGGGGUGGGCAGAGAGGCCCAGCGUGCACCAGAGCCUCGCUCAGGUCAGCGCCAGGCCUGCCUGGAGCAGCCAACUGUGGGAGAAGAAGGAGUUGGUGAAAGGUGGGUCCCACCUGGGCCGUCCACAGAAGGGCUGAGGGGUAGGGGGUGAGGGGUUGAAGAUCAGGCCCUGCCGCCAUGCCACACGGCUGUCCUCUGUCCCUGCUCCUGGGGGAGCUGAAACUGCAUGGAAGGUCCCCCAGGGGUGCCCCGUCUAAUAAACUCGAUGAAGAGGAGUGCUGCUUUCAUUCUGUGCCCCUGACAGCCGG